GUUUGGUGGUCGAGUGGUAUAAAACGUUGACUCCCGACAGCAACGACCUGGGUUCGAACCCCGCAUUGGACA